CCAAUAGCGUAUAUUAAAGUUGUUGCAGUUAAAAAGCUCGUAGUUGAAUUUCGGGGUCAGUAGUUUGGUCGUGCCAAUGGUAUGUACUGGGCUCACUGAUUCCUCCUUCCUGAUGAACUGUAAUGCCAUUAAUUUGGUGUUGCAGGGAAACUGGACUGUUACUUUGAAAAAAUUAGAGUGUUUAAAGCAAGCUAACGCUUGAAUACAUUAGCAUGGAAUAAUGACAUAGGACGUUCGAUCCUAUUUCGUUGGUUUCUAGGAUUGACGUAAUGAUUAAUAGGGAUAGUUGGGGGCAUUAGUAUUCAAUUGUCAGAGGUGAAAUUCUUGGAUUUAUUGAAGACUAACUACUGCGAAAGCAUUUGCCAAGGAUGUUUUCAUUAAUCAAGAACGAAAGUUAGGGGAUCGAAGACGAUCAGAUACCGUCGUAGUCUUAACCAUAAACUAUGCCGACUAGGGAUCGGAUGAUGUUAAUUUUUUAAUGACUCAUUCGGCGCCUUACG
rnacentral:rRNA from 1 species